ensembl:lncRNA
GCUCUCAGCGACAGAGAGCGUAAUGUUAGCUAACGUCGGUUGUUGGACUGAAAUUCUGAAAAUGCCGAAGCGAAAGACCUCCUUUAACCCAGAAUGGGCAAAAGAACACAAAAAGUAGAAAGGAUAAGUUUCUUUUUUUUGUACAUUGUGUCGAAGCCAUGUAGAUGUCAGCAGCAAAGAGAAAGCAGCUAUCGACAGGCAUGCUAGCACUGACAAGCAUCGAGCUAACAAUGGGAGUGCAAGAAAUGAGAGAAAUCGACUGGAAGUGGACAGUGUCGAGGCAGAGCUGCCAUUUUGCAUCAGUUUCACAGACCAGUGCACAGAGAUAUACAAGAAAUUCCUUGCGAACAAGAAACUCUUGGAAGCAGCCAGGAAAGGGCUGAAGUAUCACAAAUAGACUGUGUGCCAGUCUCAAGAGGCCAGACCUCACUUCUACCAUCAGAUUCUCAACCAGCCUCAACCAGCCUCUACCAGCCUCAACCAGCCUCUACCCAGCCUCAACCAGCCUCAACCAGCCCCUACCAGCCUCAACCAGCCUCUACCCAGCCUCUACCAGCCUCAACCAGCCCCUACCAGCCUCAACCAGCCUCUACCAGCCUCAACCAGCCUCUACCCAGCCUCUACCAGCCUCAACCAGCCUCUACCAGCCUCAACCAGCCUCAACCAGCCUCUACCCAGCCUCUACCAGCCUCAACCAGCCUCUACCAGCCUCAACCAGCCCCUACCAGCCUCUACCAGCCUCUGCCAGCCUCAACCAGCCUCAACCAGCUUCAACUAGCCUCUACCCAACCAGCCUCAACCAGCCUCUACCCAGCCUCAACCAGCCUCUACCCAGCCUCAACCAGCCACUACCAGCCUCUACCAGCCUCAACCAGCCUCUACCAGCCUCUACCCAGCCACUACCAGCCUCUACCAGCCUCAACCAGCCUCUACCAGCCUCUAACCAGCCUCAACCAGCCUCUACCCAGCCUCAACUAGCCUCUACCCAGCCUCAACCAGCCUCUACCAGCCUCUACCAGCCUCAACCAGCCUCUACCAGCCUCUACCCAGCCUCUACCCAGCCUCAACCAGCCUCUACCCAGCCUCAACCAGCCUCUACCCAGCCUCUACCAGCCUCUACCCAGCCUCAACCAGCCACUACCAGCCUCUACCAGCCUCAACCAGCCUCUACCAGCCUCUACCCAGCCUCUACCCAGCCUCAACCAGCCUCUACCCAGCCUCCACCCAGCCUCUACCCAGCCUCAACCAGCCUGUGGCCAGCUGCGACCAGCUGCCUGAACUCCAGGUCCACCAUGCUGAGGCCUUCUGUGGCCUGCCUCAACCAGCCUCUGUCCAACUUCCGACCUGCCUCCUACCAUCCUCUGACUUACCUCUGUCCAGCCUCUGUGAAGCAACCUUGAGGACUCACAGACACAGAUGGACUCAGAUACUCAGAUGUAUAGACAAAGCCUAGGUAAAGCCUAUACAUCUGAAACAGAAGGUGCUGUAUUUUGUUUUUCCCCCUUUAUCUAUCCAGAUAAAAACAUUAAGAACAGUUUCUGUAUGAUGUUUAUUAGACCUAUGUAAUCUGAAUUGGAAGGGCACGUUGUCAUGAGCUGUAUCUUGUAUAUUUAUUAUUAGCUAUGUGGUAUGUGUGUGCACCUUUAUGUAAUCUGGUGGAAAAACAUUCAAAUUUAAAACUGGAUCAUACCAAACAAAUAUCUGCUUGCGUGUCCCCGUGUAUGCAAAGUGUCCUCCUGUUUGAUGUGAAGGAAAUGGCCACCCUAGCUCUCCUGCUCUUUAUUGAAUUUGGGGAAGUUUAUACUGUAUCAACCGAGGAUGCUAACUUUUUGCCUGUGUCAUGUAGCUUUAGCCUCAAUCUCUUACCAAUGAUAUGUAGUAUGUUGCCAUUGAUUGAGUAUUUCAGCCCUGUUUUACAAGAUUCCCGUUUGAAAACAAUCAGCUGAAGACAUUUCAAAGAUUUUUUUAACUAGCUCACGGAGCUAAUGUUAGCUUCAUUAGCGACAGUAGUCGGUUCAGUUGGCAAAGCGAUGGGCGCGGCUAGAAUGAGAGGCUAACCUUUGUGUGCCUGUCUGAAAUCCAUGAAUACCACAAAUUUUGAUGGUAAAUUUGGCACCCAUAUCCCUGUAAACUACACGCACCGUGCACGAUUGGAAAGUGUAGACAGGCGUGGCCACAGUGACUAAGGAGGACUGUGCUAUCAAUUGGUCAAUCUUGGGUCCACUUAACUUAGACCACUUAUUUCAGUCUUUCUGACAUAUUAGAGAGGCAACAGCCUUUUCCUGAUUGUCUGUGACUACCUCUCUCACUGUGGGAAAGAUGUCCCAUGACAGAUAAAGAGGCUUUCCAUUUCAAAGCGUCUGUCAGCCAUCCUUUGUGUAGCCCUUUCAUCAAUCCGUAGACGCAAACAUGCAUUAUGGUUUUUCUUUAGUUCUGUAUUUGUAUUCAGUUUCUAUCCCUUCCCCCUGCUAUUUACCCGUCACUUUUACAGAGGAGCAGGUCCAUCAAGAAUUCAAUUUCAAGUUCAAUUUGAAAGUUUCAAGAGGGGAGCAACUUAGCAGAGAUAUCACUGUUUUCUUAGUUUAUUUGUUUGUUUUUUUGUCUGUAGGCUUUACAGGUGGCAAAUGAAAGUGUGAGAAAAUCACCUUCUCAGUCUGUCCAGGUGACAAAAACACCCAACAACAUACAGGCAGUGACGCACAUGUCAAAUUUGCCUGCAAACACACACACACACACACACACACACACACACACACAACACACACACACACACACACAAACACACACACACACACACACACACACACACACACACACACACACACACAAAAGCACUAUAUCACACUUACAAAUAGCUUGAACACAGCUCUAAUAUCAUGCUCAAUUGGUAAAAUGGCAAUGGGAGUCUAAGGGGAAAGAUGGGCACAGACACACACACACACAUACACACACACCAGAAAACCUGAGCCAAAUGAACUUCUGUGCUGCCUAAGCAAUUGAGAAGCUGGUAAAGAAAAGAGGAAGAUUAUCACUUUGCUGGGACUAUAAACACAACCUGUUCUCUUGAAUGAGGCCUUUAUGCUUACACAGAUUAAUACAUGCACCAUUAAGCUCUCACUUCUCAUUAGAAAUUUAGUCCGACAGUUAGGUGUGUUCAGGGACACUGAGGGAAAUAAAACUUUUUGGGCGUUGCCAUGGAAACUGAGAAAGGCCUCAAACCCUUGUAUCAAAAUGAACAUGAUUUUCUGUGACAAGGCAUCAAAGAUAGAGAGGCAGUUAGGAGGCCACAUUGAUCUCAUUCAUGUUGAAGGUUAGCACAGUUACAGCAUCAUAUAAGAUUUUAUUUGUUUUAUCUUUACAUUUUCUGUUUCAUUUCCAUUACCUACUCUCCUGCUGCAUGAAAGGAAUUUGAAUUGCUGUCCUUGUCUUUACUUUGCAGUAAUUCAUCACCCUGCAUAAAAGUGUUGUAUGAAUAAAGAAAACCUGUCAAGGUUAUGCUGAAGUAAUCUGGUAGGCAGCAAGUGUUUUCUUCCUCCAAUAUAUAAGACAUGUCAAAACCUUCAUGUACAUUUGCACUUUAAAAUAGUGUAAUGUGAGGUAUUUAUUAUGUAUUGUAAUAUUUAGAUGGUAGUAAUUGGUUAUGAUUUCCCAAUAAGUAUCCCAUAACUUUAACAGACUUUCAAAAUGCAUUUAGGAACUCAUUUUAUUACUUUAUGACCCUUGGCUGCAGCCUUUUGACUCUUUUGAGCUGGAAAGUUUCCUGGGAUACUCAGG